UAUUUGGUUUUAUUUCUUUUUUAAGCUCAAGGUCCAGAGAUCGCAGUUCCAGAAAAAGAUCAAAGCGCAGUCGUUCCCGGUCCAGGCGCUCUCGCUCUGGUUCUAGAAAUGGCAGAAGGCAUCGUUCACGCAGUCACUCUAGACGUAAGCAUCGUAGGAGAAGCCGCUCAGACAGUCGGGGUCGCAAUGAUCGGUCACGUUCUGGGUCAGGUGAAAAGAAGGCAGAAUGAUGAUAUUUCUUAUGAUAAACUUUGGGCUUAAGUCUUCAUUUUUUUUAAUGUCAUGAAAUGGGAAGUUUUUAUUCAAUUUACUUUUGAGAUUUUACUUAUGUAUAGAACUGGUAGGAUUUUGUUUAUGGUUCAUUUUUAUAUCUGGUGAUUAGCUUCUUAAAGGAAUUUAUUUUAAAUUGAAUAUGUCCCACAUGUUUGAUGAAUUAGUUUCUGGAUUACAUCCAGCUCCUUUCCCCCAUUGUCCUAUUUUGUUUUGUUGGUUAUUUUCUUUGAUUGUACUUGUAAAAGGUCAAAUAAAAGAUUGGCUUCUUA
rnacentral:sRNA from 1 species